rnacentral:rRNA from 1 species
GACGAACGCUGGCGGCGUGCUUAACACAUGCAAGUCGAACGGAAAGGCCCUGCUUUUGUGGGGUGCUCGAGUGGCGAACGGGUGAGUAACACGUGAGUAACCUGCCCUUGACUUUGGGAUAACUUCAGGAAACUGGGGCUAAUACCGGAUAGGAGCUCCUGCUGCAUGGUGGGGGUUGGAAAGUUUCGGCGGUUGGGGAUGGACUCGCGGCUUAUCAGCUUGUUGGCGGGGUAGUGGCUUACCAAGGCUUUGACGGGUAGCCGGCCUGAGAGGGUGACCGGCCACAUUGGGACUGAGAUACGGCCCAGACUCCUACGGGAGGCAGCAGUGGGGAAUAUUGCACAAUGGGCGGAAGCUUGAUGCAGCAACGCCGCGUGCGGGAUGACGGCCUUCGGGUUGUAAACCGCUUUCGCCUGUGACGAAGCGUGAGUGACGGUAAUGGGUAAAGAAGCACCGGCUAACUACGUG